CUCACUUUUGCCAGCACUUAUCUGCAGGAUACAGCAGCGUUCAAAUAAUGUACAGCGUCUCGUCUCUAAUCAGCGCUGCAGGAGAUAAGCUCGGAUAGAGAUUUCGGAUUAAGCACUGGAGCUGUUCUGGAAUAAGGCCUGUUCUGUUGAUGUGAGCAUACCUGGAGCAUACCAUGGGAUGGCCUCGAUGUACAUGUUGCAAAAAUCUUCUUCAAUGCACUCUGCUGAAUUUCCACUCCAGCAGACGUUUCCUCCUUUGUAAAUGUCAGAUUUCCUCAUGUGCACCAUGGUUUCACUGUCUCUGGAAGCUCUCUCAUCCUCAGUGUAGCAGAUCUGCAGAUGAGCC